CGCUGCUCUACACAUAUCUGGCUAGAUCGGGCCGUGACCCAAAAAAGGGCAUUGAACGCAGCCUACGCCUAACCCAAGACAAAAUGCUGGACAUCCUAGGACCUCUGGCAAAAAUUCUUCUACUGGCUGAUGAAGCCUUAUCUAAUGAAGGCCCUCUAGACCCAUCUGUGAUCAGAGAAUGGGCUCUACGCUCUAUUUGCCUGCUGGGCAAUGCUAAUACAUCCCUCUGUACUGAGCGUAGAAAAGCAGUGCUGCUGCGUAUGGAUGCUAAGUUAGCUGACUUGGGAACCAAGGAAUUGGGCCCCAAAGCACAGGGUCUAUUGUUUGGAGAACCCUACAUUAAAGAAUUACAUAAACAUGUAAACUAAUACGCCACACUAAACAAGGCGCAAUCAUCCAUGAAAAGAGUAUUUCACUAUCAACCCUCACGGGUUUUUGGCAGGGCUGGCCGUACAAGGGGUCGCACAGUCAGCCGUUUCUGGACCACAAACCAACGCCAGAGAACCCCAACUUCAUCUUUCUUCCCCAACUAUCAACCAAGAGGCUCUUACUCCCAAAGGGCGGAUAGAGGAAGAGGAUACAGAACCCGCGGACGCAGUAGAUACCCAACAGGUGAGAUUUCCUUCCUUUCACCUUUCUACUGUUUAUCAUGCGGGCAGGUUGUCACACUGUGUAGACAUGUGGAAGACCCUGUCUUCAGAUACCUGGGUCCUAAACACAGUUCAGGGUUUCUACAUAGAGUUUCAUUCUCUCCCUUCUCAAACAGGUUAUCCUCACUAUCCAAAAAUGUCAAGGGCUCAGAGUCUUCACCUAGAUUCAGAACUACGUUCUCUGUUAACAAAAGGAGCGAUCCAACUCGCUCCACCCGACGAAGGUUUCCUCAGCUCCACCUUCUUAGUCAAGAAGAAGUCAGGGGAAUUUCGCCCAGUCAUCAACCUUCGUCAACUGAACUCUUUUGUUAUCUACCGACAUUUCAAAAUGGAAGGGAUUCACCUCCUCAGAGACAUCCUCCGACCAGGCGACUGGUUCACCCGUCUCGACCUCAAGGACGCUUACCUUUUGGUGCCAGUACACCCUUCAAGCCGGCGUUUUCUCCGCUUUCAUUGGCACCACCGAAUUUUCCAAUUCACCUGUCUUCCAUUUGGCCUGAGUUCCGCUCCGUGGUGCUUCACCAAACUCCUCAAGCCAGUCACCACACAUCUGCAAGAAAGGGGCAUCCGUUGUUUAAUCUACCUCGACGACCUCAUGCUUCUCUGCGAAGACGUAUCCAAACUGCGUUCACAGACUAACUAUACUUCUGUAUUAAUCGAAUCCUUGGGGUUUGUCAUAAACCAAGAGAAAUCGUCACUGUCCCCAACCAGAGUCAUUCAAUUUCUCGGAUUCGAAAUCGACUCUUCAACCAGUGUUCUUCGCCUACCUCAGUCCAAGUUAUUCGCGAUCAAGAAGGAACUAUGCAAAACGCUUUGUCAACAGGAUUUACCUCUUCGAGGAUUAGCUCGGGUAGUAGGCCUACUCUCUGCCUCCAUUCAGGCAAUCUACCCAGGCCCCCUUCACUACCGGGCCAUGCAACGCUUGAAAGCUUAAUUCCUCCGGUCUCAUCCAUCAUAUGACCAGAGGGUCCCGAUCACUUCGGAGGUGAAAGAGGAACUCCGUUGGUGGCUCCACCACAUGUCAGCCUGGAACGGCAAAGCUAUUUUCGGUCCCACCCCAGACUUCGUGGUGGAAUCAGAUGCGAGCCUCCAGGGUUGGGGCGCAACCUGUCAUACAACCUCCACCAGAGGACCAUGGACCACCUCAGAACACCUCCUCCACAUCAAUUGUCUGGAGUUAAUCGCAGGCUCAUUCGCAAUUCGCAGUUUGACCAAUCAUCUCUCAAACUGCUGUAUUCUCCUUCGGAUGGACAAUAUCUCUGCUGUCCAAUAAAUCAACAAAUUGGGCGGGGCCAGAUCUCGCAUCCUCUCCGAAGUGACAAAAGACAUCUACGAGUUUUGCUUCCAACGCAACAUCACUCUUCGGGCAGAAUAUCUCCCAGGGGAGACGAACAUUACUGCGGAUUGGUUCUCCCGACAUUGGAGAGAUGGCAGCGACUGGCGCCUACACAGAACGAUCUUUCUCCACAUCUCCAAACUCAGGGGUCCAUUUACCUUAGACCUUUUCGCCUCCCGGACAAACUUUCAAGUCCCACGGUUUUUCAGCUGGCUUCCAGACCCAGAAUGCUCGGCUGUGGACGCCUUCCUUCAGAGUUGGCCGACGACGGGAGCCUAUGCUUUUCCUCCGUUUGCGAUGAUUCCCAGAGUCCUCCUGCAGAUUCGCAGACAACAGAUCGCACUUGUUUUAAUUACCCCGCUCUGGCGGGGCCAAGCAUGGUUUCCGGAUCUUCUGGCCCAACCUCCUGGAGGACCCUCAAGGAAAUCCUCAUCCAAUGAUAACGCAAGACCACCUCCACCUAGUGGCUUGGACUCUUUCAGGGGAACCUGGCACUUCGGAGGACUAUCGCAGAGAUCUAAGGAACUCCUCUGGGAUUCGUGGGCUCCUGGAACUAGAAGAUGCUAUCUCUCCUCCUGGAACACUUGGUGCAAUUGGUGCCUGGAACGGAAUACCGAUCCCCUUACGGCCCCUAGACAGUUCAUAUUGAAUUUCCUCUCUCAUCUAUUCGAUCUAGGCCUUUCCUACAGAUCCAUCAACGUUUCCCAUUCAGCCAUCUCGGGAGCCCAUGUCCCUCUUGAAGGGGUUCCAGUGGGCCAGGACCAGCUGGUUUGUAGACUAUUGCGGGGCAUCAAACUGGCUCGCCCCCCCUAAACCGAAAUACUCCCAUCUGUGGGACGUUAAUGUCAAUAAUUAAUUUUCUCGAGACUUGGCCAAACAACGAGGAUCUAUCCCUCCGCUAACUCUCAGCCAAAUUCACCCUGUUACUUUGCUUAGUGUCCUUCCGAAGAGUUUCGGAUGUUCGAGCCUUUGACCAUGACGCUAUCAACUUUUCCCCAGAGGGUGUCACCUUUUCCGUGACCAGGCGGACGAAAUCAAACUCCUCUUCGAUAUUUUACCCUUAUUUCCCUAACCACCCGAAAUUGUGUGUGGUAUCUCUUCUUUCUCGUUAUUUAUCACUCACCUCCUCUAUCCGUCCAACUUCCUCCAGCCAGCUAUUGGUCUCAUACGUCCGGCCUCAUAAUCCAGUGUCAACCACAACUCUUGCCCGAUGGGUUAGGUGGUUGCUCUCCCUAGCCGGGAUUGAAACCUCCUUCGGAGCCCACUCCAUCAGAGGAGCGGCAGCAUCGGGGGCAUUCAGCGCUGGAGCCUCACUUCGAGACAUACUUCACUCCGCAGACUGGUCCCGAGAACAGACGUUCCGCAACUUCUAUUUUCGUCCGGCUGCGCACGCUUCCUUGGCCCUUCUCGGGGAGCGUUAAAACAGCAAAUACGAAGCCUCCUGUCAUGUUAUAAAAUUGUAGAUUAUGCUAGCUUUAGUGUACCUAUAAUCUUAAUUUUAUUAAUGACAGGAGGCGAGUAUUUCCCACCACUCCUACUUUCAUUUUUUCCCACCCUAGGGUCGCCCCUGUAGGUAAGUUUCUAAAACAAGAACGAACACACUAUGCCUUACUACCAUGGGGUUAGGAGUUAUUUUUCUAUGAGGUAUAGAUUAACUUUUCUAGCGAGCUAUAAUGUAUGUUUCAUAUCAACUGGUUAUCAUAAUUUCAAAGUCCAAUUCACGGAUUAAUCCUUGGCUUCGACUCUGCUCUCUUGUUUCAGCAUGAAACUCCCUUAAGAGAUCCAGCCUAGUUGCUGCUCCAUCACAAGCUUCUCCUCUACUCCUCAAGUUCUCAAGUCUACGUUCCUGUCUCCCUCUCAAGCAUCACUCUUCAAGUCUGGCAUCCUGAAUCACUCAUCUGGUUCCUUCAGUUCCGGUUCCUAUUUGUUCGCAGCCAGAAAGAGGAAAUUACAUCACUGGGAG